CGGGCAACUACCGGCGAGCAGGCGAGGUAAGACGUAGGGGACGGGCGUGGGCCGGAGUAGUUGGGCGGCACGCGCGCGUAUGCGUGUCUGAAAGUCGGUCGUGAAAUGCCGGGGCGCAACCCCGGGACUGCGUCCCAUACUCCAGAGCUGGAGGCAGGUAGGGGAGAUCGGAAUUCCUGGUGUAGCGGUGAAAUGCGCAGAUAUCAGGAGGAACACCGGUGGCGAAGGCGGAUCUCUGGGCCUUGCCUGACGCUGAGGCGCGAAAGCUAGGGGAGCGAACAGGAUUAGAACCCUUGUAGUC
rnacentral:rRNA from 1 species